rnacentral:rRNA from 1 species
UACGUAGGGUGCGAGCGUUAAUCGGAAUACUGGGCGUAAAGCGUGCGCAGGCGGUUUUGUAAGCCAGGUGUGAAAUCCCCGGGCUCAACCUGGGAAUGGCAUUUGGGACUGCAAGGCUGGAGUGUGGCAGAGGAGACUGGAAUUCCUGGUGUAGCAGUGAAAUGCGUAGAUAUCAGGAGGAAUACCGAUGGCGAAGGCAGGUCUCUGGGCUGACACUGACGCUCAUGCACGAAAGCGUGGGGAGCAAACAGGAUUAGAAACCCGUGGUAAG